rnacentral:rRNA from 1 species
CCCUAACACCUGUGAAC